AAGGAUUUAAGUUAAAAAAACUAUUAGCCUUCAAAGCUAAAAAUAAAGAUACUCUUUAAGCCUUA
rnacentral:tRNA from 1 species